AACGAACGCUGGCGGCAGGCCUAACACAUGCAAGUCGAGCGAGGACUUCGGUUCUAGCGGCGGACGGGUGAGUAACGCGUGGGAAUGUGCCCUUCUCUACGGAAUAGCCCUGGGAAACUGGGAGUAAUACCGUAUACGCCCUAUUGGGGAAAGAUUUAUCGGAGAAGGAUCAGCCCGCGUUGGAUUAGGUAGUUGGUGGGGUAAUGGCCUACCAAGCCGACGAUCCAUAGCUGGUUUGGGAGGAUGAUCAGCCACACUGGGACUGAGACACGGCCCAGCCCCCACCGGGAGGAAGCAGUGGGGAAUCUUAGAAAAUGGGGGAAACCCUGAUCUGGCCAGGCCGGGUGAGUGAUGAAGGCCUUAGGUUUGUAAAGCUUUUUCAGCUGGGAAGAUAAUGACGGUACCAGAAGAAGAAGCCCCGGCUACCUCCUU
rnacentral:rRNA from 1 species